CCCUUCCUAGUGAAGUUGGUUGUCUCACUCUUCCUCCACAGUGGAGGCGGAGGUUCGAGUCCCACGGAAGGCG